AGUGGAUGGGGAGCAACCUAGUUGUGCGUGUGUAAAGGUAGUGCCAAGAAAAGCGAUGAUCAUGUUGAAAAUCAAUUCCCGGUACCCGAAACCGACACAGGUGGGCAAGUAGAGAAUACUAAGGGGCGCGAGGUAACUCUCUCCAAGGAACUCGGCAAAAUGACCCCGUAACUUAGGGAGAAGGGGUGCCACCGAGAGGUGGUCGCAGUGAAGAGGCCCAGGCGACUGUUUAGCAAAAACAUAGGUCUCUGCAAACUCGAAAGAGGAGGUAUAGGGGCUGACGCCUGCCCAGUGCCGGAAGGUUAAAGAAGUUGGUCAGUCUUAGGAUGAAGCUAGCGACUGAAGCCCCGGUGAACGGCGGCCGUAACUAUAACGGUCCUAAGGUAGCGAAAUUCCUUGUCGGGUAAGUUCCGACCCGCACGAAAGGCGUAACGAUCUGGGCGCUGUCUCGGAGAGAGGCUCGGCGAAAUAGGAUUGUCUGUGAAGAUACGGACUACCUGCAUUUGGACAGAAAGACCCUAUGAAGCUUUACUAUAGCUUGGAAUUGUGUUCGGGCUUCCUGUGCGCAGGAUAGGUGGGAGGCGUAGAAGGUAUUCUUGUGGGGAUACUGGAGCCAACGGUGAGAUACCACUCUCAGGAGGCUAGAAUUCUAACUUAAUUAAGGACAGUUUCAGGUGGGUAGUUUGACUGGGGCGGUCGCCUCCAAAAAGGUAACGGAGGCGUACAAAGGUUCCCUCAGACUGGUUGGAAAUCAGUCGAAGAGUGCAAAGGCAGAAGGGAGCUUGACUGCGAGAAGUACAGUUCGAGCAGGGUGGAAACACGGUCUUAGUGAUCCGACGGUGCUGUGUGGAAGGGCCGUCGCUCAACGGAUAAAAGUUACUCUAGGAUAACAGGCUGAUCUCCCCCAAGAGUCCACAUCGACGGGGAGGUUUGGCACCUCGAUGUCGGCUCAUCGCAACCUGGGGCGGAAGUACGUCCCAAGGGUUGGGCUGUUCGCCCAUUAAAGCGGUACGUGAGCUGGGUUCAGAACGUCGUGAGACAGUUCGGUCCAUAUCCGAUGUAGGCGUGAGAAUAUUGAGAGGAGCCUUCCUUAGUACGAGAGGACCGGGAAGGACGCACCGCUGGUGUACCUGUUAUGAUGCCAAUUGUAAACGCAGGGUAGCCAAGUGCGGAGAGGAUAACCGCUGAAAGCAUCUAAGUGGGAAGCCCACCUCAAGAUGAGUAUUCUGGUGUAAGGUCACGGGAAGGCGACCCGUAAAUAGGCACGAGGUGGAAGUGCAGAGAUGUAUGAAGCCGAAGUGUACUAAUAGACCGUCGGCUUGACC
rnacentral:rRNA from 1 species